rnacentral:other from 1 species
UCUAUCCUGCGAUGUGCGUGAUGUCAUAUCGCGUUUGGGCCAACACCCACAAAACGGGAGGCUCAUUUCACUGGCGAGCGUGAUAGGCCUGCGCGGCUAAGACGCGACCCGGGGAAGGUUUCCCACCUGCACUUGCAGGUUCAAACAGAGUGGCACACGGCAUUGCGGGUAUUGA